rnacentral:rRNA from 1 species
CCGUGGGCGGGCUGCCUAUACAUGCAGUCGAGCGCGGGAAGCAGGCAGAUCCUCUUCGGAGGUGACGCCUGUGGAACGAGCGGCGGACGGGUGAGUAACACGUGGGCAACCUGCCUGUAAGAUUGGGAUAACCCCGGGAAACCGGGGCUAAUACCGGAUAAUACUUUUCGUUGCAUAACGAGAAGUUGAAAGGCGGCUUUUAGCUGUCACUUACAGAUGGGCCCGCGGCGCAUUAGCUAGUUGGUAAGGUAACGGCUUACCAAGGCGACGAUGCGUAGCCGACCUGAGAGGGUGAUCGGCCACACUGGGACUGAGACACGGCCCAGACUCCUACGGGAGGCAGCAGUAGGGAAUCUUCCGCAAUGGACGAAAGUCUGACGGAGCAACGCCGCGUGAGUGAUGAAGGUUUUCGGAUCGUAAAACUCUGUUGUCAGGGAAGAACAAGUGCCGUUCAAAUAGGGCGGCACCUUGACGGUACCUGACCAGAAAGCCCCGGCUAACUACGUGCCAGCAGCCGCGGUAAUACGUAGGGGGCAAGCGUUGUCCGGAAUUAUUGGGCGUAAAGCGCGCGCAGGCGGUCCUUUAAGUCUGAUGUGAAAGCCCACGGCUUAACCGUGGAGGGCCAUUGGAAACUGGAGGACUUGAGUACAGAAGAGGAGAGUGGAAUUCCACGUGUAGCGGUGAAAUGCGUAGAGAUGUGGAGGAACACCAGUGGCGAAAGCGACUCUCUGGUCUGUAACUGACGCUGAGUGCGAAAGCGUGGGGAGCGAACAGGAUUAGAUACCCUGGUAGUCCACGCCGUAACGAUGAGUGCUAGUGUUUAAGGGGUUUCCGCCCCCUUAGUGCUGAAGUUUAGCGCAUCAAGCACUCCGCCUGGGGGAGUACGCCGCAAGCUGAAACUCAAGGACUGACGGGGCCCGCACAGCGUUGAGCAUGUGUUUAAUCGAGCACGCGAGGACUAACAGUCUGACAGUCUCUGCAUCUAGAGAUAGAUGUUGCCCUCUGGACGGACUGACAGUGGUGCAUGAUGUCGUCGCUCUGGUCGUGAAAGGUUAGUCAGUUACGGCACGAAGCCACUGACUAAUUGCAGCAUAUGGAGCUGCUCACGUGACAUGAUCAGUCGUCAGAC